rnacentral:rRNA from 1 species
AUUGAACGCUGGCGGCAGGCUUAACACAUGCAAGUCGAGCGAGCGGCGGACGGGUGAGUAAUGUCUGGGAAACUGCCUGAUGGAGGGGGAUAACUACUGGAAACGGUAGCUAAUACCGCAUACCAUCAGAUGUGCCCAGAUGGGAGUAGCUAGUAGGUGGGGUAAUGGCUCACCUAGGCGACGAUCCCUAGCUGGUCUGACAGGAUGACGAGCCACACUGGAACAGAGACACUGUCCAGACUCGUACGGAAGUCAGCAGUAGGAAAUCUUGCACAGUAGAAACAAGCCAAAUACAGCCAUGCCGGGUGAGGUAAGAAGGCCUUCAGGAUGUGAAGCACAGUCAGCAAGGUGGCAUUACUCGCAGAAGAAUCACCGGCUAACUCCGUGCCAACAACCACGGUAAUAC